UGGCCGGUAGUUCAAUUGGCAGAACGCCUGGUUUUGGACCAGGAGGUUGCAGGUUCGAUACCUGCCCGGCCAGCCA
rnacentral:tRNA from 3 species